GAGCUGUCAGCACAUAUACUAAAAUUGGAAUGAUACAGAGAAGAUUAGCAUGGCCCUGGAGCAUGAAAAAAAAGCCACCAUGAGUAUGGGUGUGUCAUUUUU